rnacentral:rRNA from 1 species
UACGUAGGGAGCAAGCGUUGUCCGGAAUCAUUGGGCGUAAAGCGCACGUAGGCGGCUUUCUAAGUCGGGGGUGAAAUCCUGGAGCUCAACUCCAGAACUGCCUUCGAUACUGGAGAGCUCGAGUCCGGGAGAGGUGAGUGGAACUGCGAGUGUAGAGGUGAAAUUCGUAGAUAUUCGCAAGAACACCAGUGGCGAAGGCGGCUCACUGGCCCGGUACUGACGCUGAGGUGCGAAAGCGUGGGGAGCAACAGG